UGAUAAUCAAAUGAUAGUUAUCAUCAUUGUCUUCAUCCUCAUUUUCAUUAUCAUUAUCAUCAUCAUCAUUAGAGUUAUUGAUAUCUCUUUAUUGCCACUAGAUUUGGAGACUUAUAAUUUAGGGCCUAGCAGAAUACCAGGCAGAGUGAGUGCUCAAAAAAUUACAUAUUGAAAGAAUUCAUAGAUAAAACUGAGCAUGUGAAUUAUAUAGGUGUGGACUUCAGACUCCAUAACUCCCACCAACCUAGGAAUACAAAAUAAUUCAGGAUUACUGACUUCUAAAACACCUGUUCAUACUAUUUUUUAGUCUCCUAAAACAUGCUUCCUAAACAUUUCUGUGAGUCUCCGAGGUUAAUUCAUAUGUGCAUAGAAGGACUUGAGCCCAGAGAGUUCCUGGUCCAUGGUAAUUUGGUAAUGCACCAAAGCCUUGAUGGCACUGAGGUGCAUGGCAGUUAAUGACCAAGGGCCAUGUGUUGAGGGAGGGGUCUCACUUAAUUUGUGGUCACAUCCAAUAGAGGAGCUCCAAAUGCUUGGAACCAAUUUAUACAGACUGGCAUGAGGCUGUGGAUGUGCACUCAGGAAGUUGUAGACAGCCCUGUGCCACCUUCACAAUCAUCCUCCCUCUCUGGUCAUACCUCUGUGCAUCAGGUAUAUAGCCUGGCUCCUUCUUCCUUAGGAUGAAGGCAGCCCAGCCCUUUGUGAAAAUAGGUAUUGCUCAGGUCUGCACCAGUGGUUCACUCGACAUGCUAGGACACAUCUGAACCCCUGCAGAGGACACAACCUUGGUUCAAAUUAUAGCUCCAACAUAGCUAAAGGCCAGUUUGAAAAUCAAUAUAUUACAUUACUCUGAGAGGGUGACAAUUCAUACGUUACUUCCAAAAUGAAUAAGGGUAUCUAAUAGGAAGAAACUUCGGGUUUCUUUUUAGGAGGCCGUAUGAGAGGGCACCUCACAGCACAAGUCCACACACAUCUAUUCACAUUUGUCAUAGGACUCUGGGAACUGUCAGAGUGCCAGGUUUUCAGAGUCCCUUCCAGGAAAGUUUGCACACAAAGCAGAAAUAGCUCCUGUACAAGUUUGACAGUAGGAACCAUAGGGUUAACACUCUGUCACCAUGCACUGGGAGCCAGGUGGCAGGACAGGCACGAUGAGGCCUUACCUCUUUAUCAAUCAAGUAUCAGCUAAUUACAAGAGCUCUGCAGAAUCCGAGAGCACCUCUAAGCUGGGAGAGUAUUUGCAGCUGCUCUAGGGAACAGGAAGACCAUGCCCAGUGGAGGUCUCACAUUAAGAUGGGAACCUGGGUCAAUGGAGAACCUAGGAGAGAAGCAGCUUUGAGGAAGCACAGUCACCCACAAAUGACUGCUAAGCACUUUGUGGUUGUCAAGUUCCUAGGCACUGAAUAAUAAUAAGGAGAGGGGGCUUCCAGAGGGUAAUGACUAAUGGCCCCUCCAUUUCCUGCUGAUGCUGGCAGUUCGGUGUCAUUUUGUGUUUAUGUUAAUUUAUGCACACAGGAUUAGAAUGUAGCAUUAUGUGGUCAUUUAAUUUAAUUGAAGUAUGGAACUUCAUGGGCCCAGUUUUACAUUUCCCUUAUAGAUUUCAGUGAUUUUAUCUUUAGCAUUUAAUGCCCCCCCACCCAUCACCAUUCCUAAUGGCAAUAAUAAUACAUUUACACUUGCUUCACACUUUCCCUGCAAGGAGCCCCAAGCGCGUGCUGCGGCCCAUUACCCCCACAAGAGCUCUGCAAGGCAAAUGCCAGGGAGGAUUUGAAGCACUCUCCUCAGGUUGAACAUACAUAAAAAGGUGCAGUUUUUAUCACAGAGAUAAGUUCCCAGCCAUUUAAAUUACUUUUGAAUGCAAGGAGAAACUUUACUUAUGCAUGAGGCUUCCGCUGUGCUGUUCUUCAUAGCUCAGAAAUACGUGACCUUUAAGGCUGACAGCAGUGUGCAGAGUGCAUGUAACUUAUUAGGGAGCUUUCAUU
rnacentral:lncRNA from 1 species